GGGGAAUAUUGGACAAUGGGCGCAAGCCUGAUGCAGCCAUGCCGCGUGUAUGAAGAAGGCCUUCGGGUUGUAAAGUACUUUCAGCGGGGAGGAAGGUGUUGUGGUUAAUAACCACAGCAAUUGACGUUACCCGCAGAAGAAGCACCGGCUAAAUACGUGCCAGCAGCCGCGGUAAUACGAAGGGUGCAAGCGUUAAUCGGAAUUACUGGGCGUAAAGCGCGCGUAGGUGGUUUGGUAAGAUGGAUGUGAAAUCCCCGGGCUCAACCUGGGAACUGCAUCCAUAACUGCCUGACUAGAGUACGGUAGAGGGUGGUGGAAUUUCCUGUGUAGCGGUGAAAUGCGUAGAUAUAGGAAGGAACACCAGUGGCGAAGGCGACCACCUGGACUGAUACUGACACUGAGGUGCGAAAGCGUGGGGAGCAAACA
rnacentral:rRNA from 1 species